GGGGGAGAAGGGGAAAGAAAUAUUUAUUUAAGUAUUAUAUUUAAUAAAAAUAAUUUUAAUUCAAUAUAGUUUUAGUAUUUUUUAAAGAAAUAAUAAUUUUAAUAAUAGUUUAUUUGUAUUGUAAAAGAAGAUUGAAAUAAUUUGAAAAAUUUUUAUUUUAAAAGAAAAUUUAAUUUAUUGUACCUUGUGUAUCAGGGUUUAUUAAUUAAUUAAUUAUUAUAGUAAUUUUUCUCGAAUUUUAAAGAUUUAAUUAUAUAUAAAAGUUAUUGUGGAAUAAUUAUUUUUAAUAUAUAAUUAGAAAUGAAAUGUUAAUCGUUUUAAAAUAUAUCUAGUUUUUUAAGAAAUAAAUUUAAUUUAGAUUUAUAAAUUAAAAGUAUUAUUUAUUUAAUAUUUUUAAUUUAUAAAAUUAAUAUUUUAAGGGAUUAGCUUUAAAAUAAAUUUUUAAAUUUUAAAAAAGUAUUUAAUAAAUGUAAGCUUAAAAAUAGUUAUCAUUAAUAAAUUUGUUAUAAUUUAUUUUAAAUUUUUUAUUAUUUAUUAUAAAAUUAAAUUAUUUAUUAAAAUAUAAAUUUUAAUAUUAAUGAUUUAUAAAUUAUGGUAAAAUUAGUAUAUUUAAUUUAUAUAAAUUAUUUAAAUUGAGAGGUUUAAAUAAGGAAUUCGGCAAAUUAUAUAUUCACCUGUUUAUCAAAAACAUGUCUUUUUGUAUUUAAUUUAAAGUCUAACCUGCCCACUGAUAGAUAUUAAAGGGCCGCAGUAUUUUGACUGUGCGAAGGUAGCAUAAUCAGUAGUCUUUUAAUUGAAGGCUUGUAUGAAUGGUUGAAUGAGAUAUAUACUGUCUUUUUUAAAUUUUUAUAGAAUUUUAUUUUUUAAUUAAAAAGUUAAAAUAUAAUUAAAAGACGAGAAGACCCUAUAGAUCUUUAUUUUUUUUAAUUAUAAGUUAAAAAGAAUAAUUAAAUUUAUAGUUUUAUAAAAAAUUUUACUGGGGUGGUAUUAAAAUUUAAUUAACUUUUAUUAUUUGUUUACAUUAAUAUAUGUAUAUUUGAUCCAAUUUUAUUGAUUAAAAAAUUAAGUUACCUUAGGGAUAACAGCGUAAUUUUUUUUUAGAGUUCUUAUCGACAAAAAAGAUUGCGACCUCGAUGUUGGAUUAAGAAUUAUUUUUAGGUGUAGAAGUUUAAAGUUUAGGUCUGUUCGACCUUUGAAUUCUUACAUGAUCUGAGUUCAAACCGGCGUAAGCCAGGUUGGUUUCUAUCUUUAAUAAAUUAUUAUAUUAUAGUACGAAAGGACCUAAUAUAAAAAAUAUAAAUUUUAAAUUUAUGAAUUAUAUUAAUAUUUAAUAAACUAUUUUGGCAGAUUAGUGCAGUAAAUUUAGAAUUUAUUUA
rnacentral:rRNA from 1 species